rnacentral:rRNA from 1 species
GACGAACGCUGGCGGCGUGCUUAACACAUGCAAGUCGAACGGAAAGGCCCCUUUGGGGGUACUCGAGUGGCGAACGGGUGAGUAACACGUGAGUAACCUGCCCUUGACUUCGGGAUAACUUCAGGAAACUGGGGCUAAUACCGGAUAGGAAUCCUUGCUGCAUGGUGGGGGUUGGAAAGCUUCGGCGGUUUUGGAUGGACUCGCGGCUUAUCAGCUUGUUGGUGGGGUAGUGGCUUACCAAGGCUUUGACGGGUAGCCGGCCUGAGUGGGCGACCGGCCACACUGGGACUGAGAUACGGCCCAGACUCCUACGGGAGGCAGCAGUGGGGAAUAUUGCACAAUGGGCGGAAGCCUGAUGCAGCAACGCCGCGUGCGGGAUGACGGCCUUCGGGUUGUAAACCGCUUUCAGCAGGGGCGAAGCUUGUGGUGACGGUACCUGCAGAAGAAGCACCGGCUAACUACGUG